GGCGAGUGAGCGGCAAAGCUCCAAUUUUGAAAUCCUGGUACCUUUGGUGCCCGAGUUGUAAUUUGGAGAGUACCACUUUGGGACUGUACUUUGCCUAUGUUCCUUGGAACAGGACGUCAUGGAGGGUGAGAAUCCCGUGUGGCGAGGGUGUCAGUUCUUUGUAAAGGGUGCUCGAAGAGUCGAGUUGUUUGGGAAUGCAGCUCUAAGUGGGUGGUAAAUUCCAUCUAAAGCUAAAUACAGGCGAGAGACCGAUAGCGAACAAGUACAGUGAUGGAAAGAUGAAAAGAACUUUGAAAAGAGAGUGAAAAAGUACGUGAAAUUGUUGAAAGGGAAGGGCAUUUGAUCAGACAUGGUGUUUUGCGCCCCUUGCCUCUCGUGGGCUUGGGACUCUCGCAGCUCACUGGGCCAGCAUCGGUUUUGGCGGCCGGAAAAAACCUAGGGAAUGUGGCUCUGCGCCUCGGUGUAGAGUGUUAUAGCCCUGGGGAAUACGGCCAGCCGGGACCGAGGACUGCGAUACUUGUUAUCUAGGAUGCUGGCAUAAUGGUUAUAUGCCGCCCGUCUU
rnacentral:rRNA from 1 species